CGUGGGAAAAUAAUCUUUUUACAAGGAGGAUAAUGACUCGGUAAGUCACAGCUCUCAAUUAACGGAUUGAAAAUGUGUCCUUCCAGACAUUUUUUAAGCGUCUUUAUUCCAUCAAUGCAUAAGUAAUAUAGAUUGCAGUUUGUUUCGUGCGGUAUACUUUUUUUCCCACUUUCUGGACAUAUUGAAAUCGAUGGAACUGUCGGUGAUGAUGGUGUCGACGGUGAUGAUGUUGGUGACGAUGGUGUUGGUAACGAUGGUGUCGACGGCGAUGGUGUCGGUGGCGAUGGCGUCGGUGGAUUAUUAUUAUUGGGACAAUUUAAAUUGGGGACAUUGAACGACCAAUCGCAGACUUUUUCUUUCGAAUUCCAGACCAGUCGAUCUCCGUUGCCACGAUUUGGGCAUUCUAUUGGACAUAUCAUUUUUGUGCAUUUGUAAAAAUUGUGACAGUUUUUCGGAUCACUCAUAAAUAUCGUUUCGUUAGAAUCUUCUUUUGGACAAUCAAUGUAUCGAACGCAAUUAGACUCUUUUGGAGUUUGUGCCAUUGCCAAAGAGAUG